GCACCCGUAGCUCAGCUGGAUAGAGCGUUGCCCUCCGGAGGCAAAGGUCACAGGUUCGACUCCUGUCGGGUGCGCCA
rnacentral:tRNA from 1 species